rnacentral:rRNA from 1 species
AAAGGGUGUGUAGGCGGUCCUCUAAGUUUGGUGUGAAAUCUCCCGGCUCAACCGGGAGGGUGCGCCGAAGACUGGGGGACUAGAGUAUGGGAUGGGAAAGUGGAAUUCCUGGUGUAGCGGUGAAAUGCGUAGAUAUCAGGAGGAACACCUGCGGUGUAGACGGCUUUCUGGACCAUAACUGACGCUGAGACACGAAAGCGUGGGUAGCAAACAGGAUUAGAUACCCCAGU